rnacentral:rRNA from 1 species
CCUGGCUCAGGAUGAACGCUGGCGGCGUGCCUAACACAUGCAAGUCGAGCGAGAAACCUGCAAUUGAAACUUCGGUAGAUUUUGCGGGCGGAAAGCGGCGGACGGGUGAGUAACGCGUAGGCAACCUGCCCUUUGCAGAGGGAUAGCAACGGGAAACUGUUAUUAAAACCUCAUAAUACCGACAUGUCAAAUGACAAGACGGUCAAAGAUUUAUCGGCAAAGGAUGGGCCUGCGUCUGAUUAGUUAGUUGGUAGGGUAACGGCCUACCAAGGCAGCGAUCAGUAGCCGACCUGAGAGGGUGAUCGGCCACAUUGGAACUGAGACACGGUCCAAACUCCUACGGGAGGCAGCAGUGGGGAAUAUUGCACAAUGGGCGAAAGCCUGAUGCAGCAACGCCGCGUGAAGGAUGAAGGCCUUUGGGCCGUAAACUUCUGUCCUUGGGGAAGAAAAAAAUGACGGUACCCCUGGAGGAAGUCCCGGCUAACUACGUG